rnacentral:rRNA from 1 species
UACAGAGGGGGCAAGCGUUGUUCGGAAUUACUGGGCGUAAAGGGCGCGUAGGCGGCCUUCUAAGUCGAACGUGAAAUCCCCGGGCUCAACCCGGGAACUGCGUCCGAUACUGGAAGGCUUGAAUCCGGGAGAGGGAUGCGGAAUUCCAGGUGUAGCGGUGAAAUGCGUAGAUAUCUGGAGGAACACCGGUGGCGAAGGCGACAUCCUGGACCGGUAUUGACGCUGAGGCGCGAAAGCCAGGGGAGCAAAGCGGG